rnacentral:lncRNA from 1 species
CAGACACACCUGCACGACACUCCCCUUCUCCAGCACAGGAAUUCACACUUUUCUCAUGGACAAUUAAAAGUAUCAUCAAGAUGUGGUUCUGAAGUGAUCACAGUGAGCUGCAGAUAUGGAAAACAUG